rnacentral:pre_miRNA from 8 species
CCGGCUCUCGCCCGGUGGCGUUAAUAUAUCUCGCUAAGGCAUCCAAAAUGUUGUACCCGAGCGAGUUAGAAAAACACCACACUUUGAGAUGAAUUAAGAAUCCUUUAUUAG